rnacentral:rRNA from 1 species
AACGAACGCUGGCGGCAGGCCUAACACAUGCAAGUCGAACGCCCCGCAAGGGGAGCGGCAGACGGGUGAGUAACGCGUGGGAAUCUACCGUGCCCUACGGAAUAACGCAUGGAAACGAGUGCUAAUACCGUAUACGCCCUACGGGGGAAAGAUUUAUCGGGGUAUGAUGAGCCCGCGUUGGAUUAGCUAGUUGGUGGGGUAAAGGCCUACCAAGGCGACGAUCCAUAGCUGGGCUGAGAGGAUGAUCAGCCACAUUGGGACUGAGACACGGCCCAAACUCCUACGGGAGGCAGCAGUGGGGAAUAUUGGACAAUGGGCGCAAGCCUGAUCCAGCCAUGCCGCGUGAGUGAUGAAGGUCUUAGGAUUGUAAAGCUCUUUCACCGGUGAAGAUAAUGACGGUAACCGGAGAAGAAGCCCCGGCUAACUUCGUGCCAGCAGCCGCCGUAACAC